UACGUAGGGUGCAAGCGUUAUCCGGAUUUAUUGGGCGUAAAGGGAACGCAGGCGGUCUUUUAAGUCUGAUGUGAAAGCCUUCGGCUUAACCGGAGUAGUGCAUUGGAAACUGGGAGACUUGAGUGCAGAAGAGGAGAGUGGAACUCCAUGUGUAGCGGUGAAAUGCGUAGAUAUAUGGAAGAACACCAGUGGCGAAAGCGGCUCUCUGGUCUGUAACUGACGCUGAGGUUCGAAAGCGUGGGUAGCAAACAGG
rnacentral:rRNA from 1 species